rnacentral:tRNA from 1 species
AUUUAUAUAGUUUAAUUAUAAAACAUUACAUUUUCAAUGUAAAAAUAUAUAUUUAUUAUAAAUAC